rnacentral:rRNA from 1 species
CGCUGAAGGAAGGAGCUUGCUCUUUCCGGAUGAGUUGCGAACGGGUGAGUAACGCGUAGGUAACCUGCCUGGUAGCGGGGGAUAACUAUUGGAAACGAUAGCUAAUACCGCAUAACAGUAGAUAUCGCAUGAUAUCUGCUUGAAAGGUGCAAUUGCAUCACUACCAGAUGGACCUGCGUUGUAUUAGCUAGUUGGUGAGGUAACGGCUCACCAAGGCGACGAUACAUAGCCGACCUGAGAGGGUGAUCGGCCACACUGGGACUGAGACACGGCCCAGACUCCUACGGGAGGCAGCAGUAGGGAAUCUUCGGCAAUGGACGGAAGUCUGACCGAGCAACGCCGCGUGAGUGAAGAAGGUUUUCGGAUCGUAAAGCUCUGUUGUAAGAGAAGAACGAGUGUGAGAGUGGAAAGUUCACACUGUGACGGUAUCUUACCAGAAAGGGACGGCUAACUACGUGCCAGCAGCCGCGGUAAUACGUAGGUCCCGAGCGUUGUCCGGAUUUAUUGGGCGUAAAGCGAGCGCAGGCGGUUAGAUAAGUCUGAAGUUAAAGGCUGUGGCUUAACCAUAGUACGCUUUGGAAACUGUUUAACUUGAGUGCAAGAGGGGAGAGUGGAAUUCCAUGUGUAGCGGUGAAAUGCGUAGAUAUAUGGAGGAACACCGGUGGCGAAAGCGGCUCUCUGGCUUGU